rnacentral:lncRNA from 1 species
CACCAGUGAAAGAGGGGAAGUUGCUACUGUGAUGAAUUCUGCCAUGUGGUACCAGACUGCUGCCCAGACCACAGUGUCCUCUGCAACCCUGCUUCUCAGAUGACCAAGAUGGUGCUGCCGAUGGUGUUGAGGACGGAGAACCCACCAAGCCCCGUUAGGAGCCACCUAGACUGGAUGCAGAGCACACUUUCUCCUGGCUUCAAGUUGUCCCACCUUUGCUUGGCAUUGCCCUGCCUUUUCCAGACUGAACAAAUGUUCAUCUUACAUAUGUUGAUUGAUGUCUCAUGUCUCCCUAAAACAUAUGAAAUCAAGCUGUGCUCUGACCACCUUGGCACAUGUCGUCAGGACCUCCUGAGGCUGUGUCACGGACGCGCAUCUUCAACCUUGGAAAAAUAAACUUUCUAAAUUAAC